GAGCAGUGCCAGAGGGACCAGCCAACACCGUCCACCCCGUUGGGAGGGUCCACCCCGUUGGGACGGUCCAUACGGUUCCACAGCUCUGGGUCUCUGGACUUGGACUCUACAGAAUGUGCAGAACCCAAAAAGGUGCUUCUGUCGUCUUCUGCUCCCACUAAAGACCUCUUCCUUCGCAUUGGAUCCAAGAAGAUGAAGAACUGCAGUCCCUUCUCCACUUCUUCUUCUUCAUCCUCCUCUUCAUCAAAGCCUCAGGGAGCACAGAAGGACUCACAGGUUCCAAACCGACUGUUCCACCUGAGCAAGAAGAAAGAACAGAAGAAGAAAGAGGAGGAGGACCAGGGAGGAGAGGCCACUAACACAGGUGGAUCCUCUAUGACAUCAGAUCCUCAGA